rnacentral:rRNA from 1 species
GACAGAGGGUGCAAGCGUUGUUCGGAAUCAUUGGGGCGUAAAGGGCGCGUAGGCGGUUUUGUAAGUCGAAUGUGAAAGCCCAGGGCUCAACCUUGGAAGUGCAUCCGAAACUACAAAACUAGAGUCCCGGAGAGGGUGGUGGAAUUCCCAGUGGUAGAGGUGAAAUUCGUAGAUAUUGGGAGGAACACCGGUGGCGAAGGCGACCACCUGGACGGAGACUGACGCUGAGGCGCGAAAGCGUGGGGAGCAAACAGG